AUUCCUUCUUGGCUUUUUGGCUAAGAUCAAGGGUAGUGUCUGUUUUUAUCAGUUUAAUAAAAAAUGAGCAUAAGACAUGAACAGACAUUUCUCUUAAAAAAAACAUACAGAUGGCCAAUAGACACAUG
rnacentral:snRNA from 1 species